rnacentral:rRNA from 1 species
UACAGAGGGUGCGAGCGUUGUCCGGAAUCACUGGGCGUAAAGGGCGCGUAGGUGGCGACCCAAGUCUGUGGUGAAAGCUCGAUGCUUAACAUCGAGUCGGCCACGGAUACUGGGUGGCUCGAGCACUGUAGAGGCAGAUGGAAUUCCGGGUGUAGCGGUGGAAUGCGUAGAGAUCCGGAGGAAUACCAGAGGCGAAGGCGGCACCCUGGGUCUGACCUGACACUGAUCCGCGACAGCAUGGGGAGCGAACGGG